UACGUAGGGUGCAAGCGUUAUCCGGAAUUAUUGGGCGUAAAGCGUCCGCAGGUGGCACCUCAAGUCUGCUGUCAAAGACCGGGGCUUAACCCCAGAAAGGCAGUGGAAACUGAAGUGCUAGAGUGCAGUAGGGGUAGAGGGAAUUCCCGGGUGUAGCGGUGAAAUGCGUAGAGAGUCGGGGAAGAACAUCGGUGGCGAAAGCGCUCUGCUGGACUGCAACUGACAGCUCAGGGACGAAAGCUAGGGGAGGCGAAUGG
rnacentral:rRNA from 1 species